ACAGCAGAUAAGGUGAGGAAGAGCGGUGCUUGUCGAGCCUCUCUGCCCUCUAUCCUCUUUAGAAGCAAAGAAACACGUACGUACCCGCGGCGCUAAGGCAGAGCUCACAGUCUCUCCAUCGGACAAAACGCACGCCUUUCUCCACUCCUUUUUUUCCCUUCCAUAGAGCGUACACAUUCAUCGUAUCACACACACACACACACACACACACACACACACACAGACGUCACGCUGUCAUGGCGGACAGCCACUCCACCUCUGCUGCACCGGCAGCGUCGUCGCCGUGCAGCGUGUAUCGGCUGAAGCACAACCCGUCGUGGACAAAGUUUGGCAUGCAUCCAGCAAUGCUAGCGGACAUCAAUGCUCGGUCGGGUCGACCAACAUCGCGCCGUGCAUCGUCAUGCGGUUCUUCCGCGGCGAACUCGGCGGUGCCCUCCGCAAGCGCAUCACUUCUGUCUACUGCAUCGGCACGACAGCCUGCGUCAAGUGGCAGCUUGACUGCAGUUGGAGCCCAAGCAGCUUUGCGACACGAACAUAAACAAGCGCAUGCAGCUUCGCGGUCAAUGAGCCUGCGGGCAACUGCCUUCAAUGCUAGUGGUAUUCGCGGAGUUUCUCAAUCAUUGGUUUCCGACAGCGCGUUUUCGACCUCGCGUGCCCGUGGCGGCAGUGACGCGAAGGCACGCGCUCCAGAAAGCGCUUCACUGAGUCAGCCAGCAGCAACGCGUGGAGAAUCACCUGCGGCGUCGGCACCGGUGUCGACGACCUUUAGGGACAAGGGCGGCUCUUGCGAUCACGGCACCGAGACGCCUCGCACUCCUAACGACACACGUAGCUCUGACUUUACAGAUUCGUCAUGGAGAGCGGAGACGACUCGCGAUCCUUCGCUUCAGCCCUCAGUCCUGCCUCUGCGGGAAGCCUCGUCGUCUCGCGCGAAGGACUCACAUCUCAUGGGCUCUGCAGCCCUUGUCGAGGUAGCUGGUCCGCUGGACGCCUUGUAUGUUCCACUACGUCGACCCGCCCCGCGAGGCUGCGUGGCGACGCGCCAGCACUUUUCGAUUUUCGAACGUACGCAUUGCCAGGGAGUACCUGUUAGGUCAGCGACGGAGGCUAGAGCAGCGGUAGCUGCUCAUAGGGUGGCACACAUCGGUCACCGCGGCGUUGUCGGUGGGUCGCCUGAGACAGACACCUACAGGACCACCAACAGUGCCUAUGGCCGUGGAUGCUGAGGCAAGCAGUAGAAGGCGCGUUGCUACACAUUUACGCAGUUGAUUGACCCCUCCCUCUCUCGUGCUCUCUUACCUAGUAUGAACAGACCACGUUCGUCUCGGUGCCCGCGGUACGCCAUAGACACAUAUGCAUAUGCACAGGCUCAUACACGUGUGCUCCGCCAGGAGGACUUGUUCUCUUGGCACAAGCCGUAUUCAAUGGAUAUGAGACCCACUUGCGAGGAUCGAAAC
rnacentral:misc_RNA from 1 species